rnacentral:lncRNA from 1 species
GAUGUAAACAUGGAUUUAACAAUUCUCACCAAGCAAGUGUUUCACUCAAUCUCUCAAGUGUUUAGAAGGUCACUCUACUCUCUACUGUUCACAUGUCACAUAAAACAAUAUUGUCAUUCAUCUAAAACAAUCAAAAUCUUCACAUGCACAUGUCAUCAUAAGGACUUUUUCCAAGGCUUGUAUUGUGGCUGGGCUAUCAAGAAAAAUUAGUUUUUCUGGAAUACAAAAUCCUUGAGUUAAGAGAGUUUAAAUCAUCAUUCAAAGUUCAAGCAUACUCUCUUUUUAACCAAUCUCACUCAUUCCCAAUUUUUUCCCUUUUUCCUUUUACAUUGAGUUCACUUUACAUGUUUUGUCUCUUUUCUUCUUUUCUUUUCUUUCUCAUGCAUUUUUCUUUUUCAUUCUUUGGAACUCAGUGCUCUUGUUUUCACCUUUUACUUUCCCU